AGUGUCCACCUGGGUUUCCUGUAUAUCACUUUGUAGCUCCAGCUGAAACUGUUUCACCAUAAAACAGACUUCUGAAGUUAAGAAACGUUAGAUUGUCCAGAGCAAGAGAUCAUGAAAAUUACUGCAGCUGCUUCUCAAGAAAUGAAAAAGAGAUUUUGUGUGACACAAGAAGACGGUGUGUAAACAGAAAGAUAUGUUAUUUAAUCAAACAGCAGAUGUUAUAGUGUAACAUGCAAAACCAGACUGCAUGCUGCAUGCUAUAUCUCAGAAGUUGUUUGAUGUGAGUCUAUAGAGCAUUAAAGCUGUAAGAUAUUAACAUGA